GGUCUGUGAUGAGAAAUAGCCAAAUCUGAGCACCAGAAGAUAAAUAAUCUUCUGGGUGUCGUGAUUUGUAGGUAGUUCUGAGA
rnacentral:snoRNA from 1 species